UACGUAGGGGGCGAGCGUUAUCCGGAUUUAUUGGGCGUAAAGCGCGCGCAGGCGGUCAGGUAAGUCGGAUGUGAAAGGCUACGGCUCAACCGUAGAGCGGCAUCCGAAACUGUUUGACUUGAGUGCAGGAGAGGAGAGUGGAAUUCCCGGUGUAGCGGUGGAAUGCGUAGAGAUCGGGUGGAACACCAGCGGCGAAGGCGGCAUCCUGGCCCUGUACUGACGCUGAGGCGCGAUAGCGUGGGGAGCAAACGGG
rnacentral:rRNA from 1 species